AGAGACAGCAGUAGCCGCGGUAAUACGUAUGGUGCAAGCGUUAAUCGGAAUUACUGGGCGUAAAGCGUGCGCAGGCGGUUAUAUAAGACAGAUGUGAAAUCCCCGGGCUCAACCUGGGAACUGCAUUUGUGACUGUAUAGCUAGAGUACGGCAGAGGGGGAUGGAAUUCCGCGUGUAGCAGUGAAAUGCGUAGAUAUGCGGAGGAACACCGAUGGCGAAGGCAAUCCCCUGGGCCUGUACUGACGCUCAUGCACGAAAGCGUGGGGAGCAAACAGGAUUAGAUACCCCCGUAGUCCCUGUCUCUUAUAC
rnacentral:rRNA from 1 species